UACGAAGGGGGCUAGCGUUGUUCGGAUUUACUGGGCGUAAAGCGCACGUAGGCGGAUCGAUCAGUCAGGGGUGAAAUCCCAGAGCUCAACUCUGGAACUGCCUUUGAUACUGUCGAUCUGGAGUAUGGAAGAGGUGAGUAGAAUUCCGAGUGUAGAGGUGAAAUUCGUAGAUAUUCGGAGGAACACCAGUGGCGAAGGCGGCUCACUGGUCCAUUACUGACGCUGAGGUGCGAAAGCGUGGGGAGCAAACAGG
rnacentral:rRNA from 1 species